rnacentral:rRNA from 1 species
CCGGCGACCGGCGGACGGGUGCGUAACACGUAUGUAACCUACCUUUGACAGGGGGAUAACAUCGAGAAAUUGGUACUAAUACCCCAUAACAUCACCGGAGGCAUCUUCGGUGGUUGAAAACUCAGGUGGUCAGAGAUGGACAUGCGUUGUAUUAGCUAGUUGGUGAGGUAACGGCUCACCAAGGCGACGAUACAUAGGGGGACUGAGAGGUCAACCCCCCACAUUGGUACUGAGACACGGACCAAACUCCUACGGGAGGCAGCAG